AGAGUUUGAUCCUGGCUCAGAUUGAACGCUGGCGGCAGGCCUAACACAUGCAAGUCGAACGGUAACAGGAAGCAGCUUGCUGCUUUGCUGACGAGUGGCGGACGGGUGAGUAAUGUCUGGGAAACUGCCUGAUGGAGGGGGAUAACUACUGGAAACGGUAGCUAAUACCGCAUAACGUCGCAAGACCAAAGAGGGGGACCUUAGGGCCUCUUGCCAUCGGAUGUGCCCAGAUGGGAUUAGCUAGUAGGUGGGGUAACGGCUCACCUAGGCGACGAUCCCUAGCUGGUCUGAGAGGAUGACCAGCCACACUGGAACUGAGACACGGUCCAGACUCCUACGGGAGGCAGCAGUGGGGAAUAUUGCACAAUGGGCGCAAGCCUGAUGCAGCCAUGCCGCGUGUAUGAAGAAGGCCUUCGGGUUGUAAAGUACUUUUCAGCGGGGAGGAAGGGAGUAAAGUUAAUACCUUUGCUCAUUGACGUUACCCGCAGAAGAAGCACCGGCUAACUCCGUGCCAGCAGCCGCGGUAAUACGGAGGGUGCAAGCGUUAAUCGGAAUUACUGGGCGUAAAGCGCACGCAGGCGGUUUGUUAAGUCAGAUGUGAAAUCCCCGGGCUCAACCUGGGAACUGCAUCUGAUACUGGCAAGCUUGAGUCUCGUAGAGGGGGGUAGAAUUCCAGGUGUAGCGGUGAAAUGCGUAGAGAUCUGGAGGAAUACCGGUGGCGAAGGCGGCCCCCUGGACGAAGACUGACGCUCAGGUGCGAAAGCGUGGGGAGCAAACAGGGUUAGAUACCCUGGUAGUCC
rnacentral:rRNA from 1 species